rnacentral:lncRNA from 1 species
CCAUCUGACUAUCAAUUGCUCUUUCGUGGCUUGGUCAUCAGAGAAAGGUUCUCCUUUCCUUGUCUGGUCAUCAUGAUGCCAUGCCAUCAGUUGUUAUGUCAGUUGUAAAGAAGAAAAUGACCUCCAACCAUGGAGAGUCAUCAUCAAAAAGGGUGAGAGUGCUUAACCUGAAUUUUCAAUUUUUGACUCCUAGCGGUCCUUGGUGGGGACUGGGUCGGUCGUAACCAUGAGGCCGCAUGUUGGUGUGUCAGGGUCAUUCUAGGCUCCUCCUUCAUCGAGCUAGGCCCCAUCUUCCUUUGGAGGAUCCAUGAGAUUCGGGGCGGGCCCUUAUUUUCCAAGAGUAGCUAGGGGUUUAUGGAGGCUACAAUGGAGGCCUCCGCUGAGGCUAGGCUCUAAUGCAUCGAUGGACUUUGAGGAUGAACUCAUCGAGAUGUCCUUGGCUAGGUUCAUCUAGGGCUUUGAUGACUAUAAGGCUCACCUAAGGAAGAUGGUCUCUGUUGGGUAUAAAAUAUCCCC